UAGGGAAGUCUUCCACAAUGGACGCAAGUCUGAUGGAGCAACGCCGCGUGAGUGAAGAAGGUCUUCGGAUCGUAAAACUCCGUUGUUAGAGAAGAACACGAGUGAGAGUAACUGUUCAUUCGAUGACGGUAUCUAACCAGCAAGUCACGGCUAACUACGUGCCAC
rnacentral:rRNA from 1 species